CUAGAAUGGUCUGUUGAGCAGAGAUAGAAUUAUUCAGAUUAUUACUAUUUAGAGCACUGAUGUUUACUAUAAAACUGUUACCACUUUUUUUUUUGGUUAGGAUUAAAAAAAAAAAAAAAAAAAUCAGUCACUUUUUUCCUGAACCUAUUAAACUUUGAUGCUUUUGGAACAAGUUUUGCUACAGCUUCUUGUGUUUGUUGGGCCACAUCCUUAUCACUCAUUCUGCACGCAUCCAGUUGACACCAACAAGGAGAGCACAACAGGAUUCUCGAACUCUCUGGGAAUGCUUGUGAAAUUCAGCUUCUGAAAAGGAUUUGUGGCAUAAUAUCUCAGCUGGAGAUACUAGACAUGAAAAGAUACCUGCCUGAGCACCAUUGCAUUUCCCUAUCUCAAUUAGAUAGUUCCCUAUCUCAUUUCUUUAUCAUCUUGUAGUGAAUGACUGUUACAAAAAAGGAUAUUUGAGCAUUUGCUGAAAGGAAUCCUGGUGGAUUCUGUUUAAUUAGAAGGAAUGGACAU
rnacentral:lncRNA from 1 species